rnacentral:tRNA from 1 species
GCCGUCGUGGCGGAAUUGGUAGACGCGCACGACUCAAAAUCGUGUGGGCUCUGCUCAUGUGGGUUCGAUUCCCACCGACGGCA